UACGAAGGGGGCGAGCGUUGUUCGGAUUUACUGGGCGUAAAGGGCGCGUAGGCGGCCCUCCUUGUCGCGUGUGAAAGCCCCGGGCUCAACCUGGGAACGGCGCGCGAAGACGGGGGGGCUGGAGUUCGGGAGAGGAGCGUGGAAUUCCCAGUGUAGAGGUGAAAUCGUAGAUAUUGGGGAAGAACACCGGUGGCGAAGGCGGCGCUCUGGACCGAGACUGAG
rnacentral:rRNA from 1 species